GGGUAGAUGUCCGAGCGGUUGAAGGAGCACGCCUGGAACGCGUGUAAAGUGAAAGCUUUCGAGGGUUCGAAUCCCUCUCUAUCCG
rnacentral:tRNA from 1 species